rnacentral:tRNA from 1 species
ACCUUCGUAGUGUAGUAGUCAGCACACUCAACGCGUCAAUGAGAGGACCGUGGUUCGAUUCCCAGCGAAGGCG